UGGGGAAUUUUGGACAAUGGGCGAAAGCCUGAUCCAGCAAUGCCGCGUGUGUGAAGAAGGCCUUCGGGUUGUAAAGCACUUUUGUCCGGAAAGAAAUCCUUGGCUCUAAUACAGUCGGGGGAUGACGGUACCGGAAGAAUAAGCACCGGCUAACUACGUGCCAGCAGCCGCGGUAAUACGUAGGGUGCAAGCGUUAAUCGGAAUUACUGGGCGUAAAGCGUGCGCAGGCGGUUUGCUAAGACCGAUGUGAAAUCCCCGGGCUCAACCUGGGAACUGCAUUGGUGACUGGCAGGCUAGAGUAUGGCAGAGGGGGGUAGAAUUCCACGUGUAGCAGUGAAAUGCGUAGAGAUGUGGAGGAAUACCGAUGGCGAAGGCAGCCCCCUGGGCCAAUACUGACGCUCAUGCACGAAAGCGUGGGGAGCAAAACAGGAUUAGAUACCCCUGGUAGUCCACGCCCUAAACGAUGUCAACUAGUUGUUGGGGACUUCAUUUCCUUAGUAACGUAGCUAACGCGUGAAGUUGACCGCCU
rnacentral:rRNA from 1 species